AACGAACGCUGGCGGCAGGCUUAACACAUGCAAGUCGAGCGCCCCGCAAGGGGAGCGGCAGACGGGUGAGUAACGCGUGGGAACGUGCCCUUUGGUUCGGAACAACUCCGGGAAACUGGAGCUAAUACCGGAUAAGCCCUUCGGGGGAAAGAUUUAUCGCCAAAGGAUCGGCCCGCGUCUGAUUGGCUAGUUGGUGAGGCAAUGGCUCACCAAGGCGACGAUCAGUAGCUGGUCUGAGAGGAUGAUCAGCCACACUGGGACUGAGACACGGCCCAGACUCCUACGGGAGGCAGCAGUGGGGAAUAUUGGACAAUGGGCGCAAGCCUGAUCCAGCCAUGCCGCGUGAGUGAUGAAGGCCUUAGGGUUGUAAAGCUCUUUUGUCCGGGAAGAUAAUGACUGUACCGGAAGGAUAAGCCCCGGCUAACUUCGUGCCAGCCGCCGCCGUAA
rnacentral:rRNA from 1 species